UCGAAAGGCAGGAGUGCCUGCAAGGGAGCGCGGAGACAGGUGGUGCAUGGCUGUCGUCAGUUCGUGUUGUGAGAUGUUGGGUUAAGUCCCGCAACGAGCGCAACCCUCACCUCUUGUUGCCAUCAGGUCAUGCUGGGCACUCUAGAGGAACUGCCCCGGUCAACGGGGAGGAAGGCGGGGAUGACGUCAAGUCAUCAUGCCCCUUACGUCCUGGGCUACACACGUGCUACAAUGGCCGGUACAAAGGGAUGCCACACCGCGAGGUAGAGCUAAACCCAAAAAGCCGGUCUAAGUUCGGAUUGGAGUCUGCAACUCGACUCCAUGAAGGAGGAAUCGCUAGUAAUCGCGUAUCAGCACGACGCGGUGAAUACGUUCCCGGGCCUUGUACACACCGCCCGUCACACCACGAAAGCCAG
rnacentral:rRNA from 1 species